ensembl:lncRNA
CAAAUUCAAAUUUUAUUUGUCACGUACACAGUCAUACACAGUACGAUAUGCAGUGAAAUGCUUGGACAACUGCUCGUGACCUAAAGAAAACAAAAAAGGAAAAGGCUAUGAAUAAGAUAGGAAAUAAAUAUGAAAAAUUAAAAAGGGUAAAUUUAACUAGGAAGGAAUAAGAUAUAAAUUAAGGUUAAAAAUGAAAUAACUGUACAACACAAAUUAGAAUGAAGGGUAAAUUUAACUGGGAAGAAUAAGAUAAAAUAUAUAAAUUAAAGUUAAAAAUGAAAUAACUGUACAACACAAAUUAGAAUGAAGGGUAAAUUUAACUGGGAAGAAUAAGAUAAAAUAUAUAAAUUAAAGUUAAAAAUGAAAUAACUGUACAACACAAAUUAGAAUGAAAGGUAAAUUUAACUGGGAAGAAUAAGAUAAAUAUAUAAAUUAAAGUUGAAAAUAAAAUAACUGUACAACAAAAUACACAAUACACAAUAUAGAACUAUAUAAGAAUGUAUGAAGAAAUCUAAAUAUAAAUAAAUAUAUACACAAUAACAGCAGCUGUACAAGUAUUAACCGGAAAUGAAGAAUAUAGUGACCAGUGUUGUGCAAAACCAAAGUCCAGAAAGUCCAGUGUGUGUAAGAACCAUAUGUGUGGGUCAGUACUGUGUGGUGGUGUGAUUGAGAGACCGUAUCGCCUGCGGGAAGAAGCUCCUCCUCAGUCUCUCU